AGAGUUUGAUCCUGGCUCAGACUGAACGCUGGCGGCAUGGUUAAAGCAUGCAAGUCGAGCGGGUCCGCAAGGACCAGCGGCGGAAGGGUGAGUAAUCCAAUCGUACGUGCCCCGAGGUACGGGAUAGCGGUGGGAAACUGCCGGUAAUACCGUAUGUUCUCUCCGGAGCAAAGCUUUGGCGCCUUGGGAGCGGCGAUUGACCUAUCAGGUAGUUGGCGGGGUAAUGGCCCACCAAGCCGAAGACGGGUAGCGGGUGUGAGAGCACGACCCGCCACAUCGGGACUGAGACACUGCCCGGACUCCUACGGGAGGCUGCAGCGACGAAUCUUCCGCAAUGGGCGCAAGCCUGACGGAGCAAUGCCGCGUGUGGGAUGAAGUGCCUUCGGUAUGUAAACCACUGUCAGGGGAUAGAAACAAUGAUCGUCCCCAAAGGAAGUGGCGACUAACUCUGUGCCAGCAGUCGCGGUAAUACAGAGGCCACAAGCGUUAAUCGGAAUCACUGGGCUUAAAGGGUGCGUAGGCGGGCCUGCAAGCACUUUGUGAAAUCCCUCGGCUCAACCGGGGAAUUGCAGGGUGGACUGCGGGUCUUGAGGCAGGUAGAGGCGGACGGAACUAUCGGUGGAGCGGUGAAAUGCGCAGAGAUCGAUAGGAACGCCCGUGGUGAAGACGGUCCGCUGGGCCUGACCUGACGCUGAGGCACGAAAGCGUGGGGAGCAAACAGGAUUAGAUACCCUGGUAGUCCACGCCGUAAACGAUGCGCACUGGAUCGGAGCAACUCUCACGUUGUUUCGGUCGUAGGAAAACUGAUAAGUGCGCCGCCUGGGGAGUACGGUCGCAAGGCUAAAACUCAAAGGAAUUGACGGGGGCUCACACAAGCGGUGGAGCAUGUUGCUUAAUUCGAGACAACGCGAAGAACCUUACCUGGGUUUGACAUGUACGGAUUAACUUGAUGAAAGUCGAGCCACACCCGCAAGGGUGGAACGUGCACAGGUGCUGCAUGGCUGUCGUCAGCUCGUGCUGUGAAGUGUCGGGUUAAGUCCUCUAACGAGCGCAACCCCUAUCACUAGUUACCAGCGGGUAAAGCCGGGGACUCUAGUGAGACUGCCGGUGUCAAACCGGAGGAAGGUGGGGAUGACGUCAAGUCCUCAUGGCCUUUAUACCCAGGGUUGCAAACGUGCUACAAUGGCGCGUACAAAGCGAAGCAAGGCCGCAAGGCGGAGCAAAUCGCAAAAAGCGCGCCUCAGUUCGGAUUGCAGGCUGCAACCCGCCUGCAUGAAGCUGGAAUCGCUAGUAAUCGGAGAUCAGCUACGCUCCGGUGAAUAAGUUCCUGAGCCUUGUACACACCGCCCGUCACGUCAUGGGAGCUGGGAGCGCCCGAAGUCGC
rnacentral:rRNA from 1 species